CGAAGAAGUUGCCAAGUACAAGGUGCAGUAACUGAUUUCUUUUUUAUUGCUUCUAUGUGUUCUAGUUAUUGCUGUUGGAACUAUGAUUUCUCCUGGUUGGCUUCAUUAAGAAUUCUGAUGAUAUUGUAAAUCUCUAUAGUUUAGUCAAUGUAAUCGUAUAAAUUGAUUUUGGGAAUCAUAGAUAAUUAUAAACUUAGAAUCUCUCUUAAAUUUAAUGGUAGGCCGUAAAUCAGAACAUUUUGAUAUGCAUUCUUGCUGUUUCGUGGUAUUAAUGGAGCAAUUGUAGUUUGGGAUUGUUGAAACAAUGAGGAAAGCAUAUUUUGUUUGAAGCUGUUUCUGUAUGUUCAAAGGAUCAUUUAUUGGAGAGUUAAUACAUUUUGUCUGACCAAAAUAAUGCUGGUAGAAUCUUUUUAUCAAAUCAAAGUCGAGGACUAUCCAAUUAAAAUUUAGCUCACGUUAAUGGAAGGUUUCAUGGGCUUUUAUAGGUUGGAUUGCGGGUGGAUUAUCUCAAUUGCAAUGUCAACCUACUGAAAUAAGUUGUUUGUGCAACACUACAUUAAAUUUAAAUUGCAUUGCUAAGUUUGUGUAGGUCUUUUUUUUUAUUAUUUUUAUGAUACACUUCUGUUGAAGUGCACCACUACAUUAGUGGCCAAAUGCAUCCUUUAUUCUUUCUUUUGAUCCUCUGGUGAAGAGGAAGUGAAAAUGUGCAUAGUUUCACUGACUUUGGGUGGCUAUUUGUUUAUUUUAGAUGUUGCCAAUGGCAACUUUCCACCUUUUAUUUACUGUGGAGUAACGAUUAAGUUAUUACAUUUGCAGAAGGUUUACAUUAGGUUGACAUACAUGCCAGGUUCUGUUUUGAUGGUUAUAUUGCUUUAUGCUUGUUGUGUGCUAUAUAAUAUUCUUUGUAUCCAACUUACAUUUCCAGUAUAUUUUCCAUUAUGAGUGAACAGGUUG
rnacentral:misc_RNA from 1 species